CAUAGUCUUCAGCGAGGUGCGGUGCAGCUUCCUUGUGAGGGCAUAUGAACUUCUCCAGAAAUGCCUUCUCGCUCAGGGUGACUAUAUUAUAGAAGUCCCUGUACUGACCUAGCAAUCCAUUUGCCUUAAGGAACUUGAUAACAUAGUACCUGGGACUGAGUCGGCCCUCCAGGCUAAGACUGAGAAUCAUCGGCCGAUGAGCAAUGUACGCCGGUUCCAACCCCACCACGGAGAAGAGGAACUCAGACCUACGCUUCAGAGAUUCCUUCGACCUCCUCAGCAGACUCGGAUACUUACAGACAGCAAUGCUUGCUUCGGCAUCAGACCACCUGAAUGUAUUCUUCAGAUACUCCACUUUGCUGGCGAUCUUCUCCUCGCUGAGAAACGCGACGGCCUGCAGCGCUUGCCUGAGCAUCCCAGAGCCGCGCGGCACACCUAAUCUUUCAGCACAUGCGACCAUCGCCCGAACGCGCUCCGGGUUGGAGGUGAGCAUCCUCGGCACAAAGAUGCACAGCUUGGCAAUAUCACAAUCACCUAGCCCGCACUCCCUCAGGAAGGCAGCAUUGGGCUUGACCACCUUGUCGAGGUUGAAAGACAACAGGCGGGAUGAGAGCUUGAGCAUCCGGAGCAAGUUGUCCAAUGAGCCGAUGAGUGGCAGGUAGUAGUGCAGCUUGGAGACGAUGGCUCUGGUGCGGAAGCCGUCGGGGGUGAGGGAGACGAUGCGGGCGAUGUCAGGACGCGACAGGCCGAGGCCAGUGAGCCCGACGACCUUAGGGCCAGUGUUUUGUCCACUUUGGCGCAUAGGAGCUGCGGGUCUUUGGCGACGACGGCGGCGGCGUCGGCGCCGGAGAGGCCGAGGCCGGAGAGGAAGGCGAGGACGGCGUCGGGCUUGGCGGGGGAUUUGAGGUGGGAGAGCUUCAGGGAGGCCUUGAGGGCUUGGGGCCGGGUGAGGCCGCAGGUGUCGACGAGGUACUCCUCGACGGCGAAGGUCCUAGGGUUCGGGGAAAUGGGGGAUGCGGAGAGCAGGCGAAGCAGAGGGGAGAUGGCAGAGGUGGAGGAAGGAGAGAGGAGGCGGGAAACGACGCACUCUCGGAGCCGGAGCAUGGCGCAGAGCGCGGCGGCGGCCGGCGGCCGGCGGCGGCGGCGACAGAGAUAUUUCCGGUGGGAUUGCAAUUGCUACUGCGGUCUCAUCUCAGUAGUUGCUCUGGUCCGUCUAGUGAGUGACCUGAGGAGUCAAUAUGGGCUGCGUGGGCUGGAGGAGUUUUGAUGGGCUGCGUGGGCAGUCUUCCCCUGAUACAUUAACAGGCUCGACCAGACAGAACUGGCCCUGCAAACAUGCACAAGGAAUGUAAGAUAUGUGUAAAUAGAGUCAGGACAGGAAUACUCACUAUCUGCAUAAAGUGACCUUCCAGGCAUACAUACAAAAAAAUACGAGUAGGUUUUAUGGAAUAAUAAUUUUCUCACUUAUAUGGAAUAUUUCUUUAUCUGAUGAAAUAGUGCUGUGAACAUUUUAUUGGAUAUGCAUAAACAAAUUUCAGUGAAAUAGUAUAUUAGCAAAAGUUUGUCUUUGUCUUUAGCACUAGUUUAAAAAUGCAGACCUUUUCACUAAAGAUACUUUGUUCUCAUGGUAGAUCUUUAUUAAUUUGAGAAAAAUAAAAUGAUUAUAUGGAAUUUUUUUGUGUGACUGAAUAAUAAUCAUAAUUUUAGUGAACAUUUUAUUUGAUAUACAUAAAUAAAAUUAUUGAGAUUAAAUUAAUAUAUCUGAAGAAAGAAAAAUAUUAGACAUUUAUAGCUAUCAAAAACUAGAAAUAGAGAAAAUAAAUAUUUGACAUGCAUGAUGCAUGAUCAUUUUUUAGCACUAUGAGAUGUAUCUCAAGUGGGAAAAAUAUCUACAAACGGGGCAAUUUUACAAAUAAAAAGAUAGAAGUAGCAUAGGCGCUUUAUUUGACAUACGUGUGAACUUUAUUAACAUAUAUGAUUGUUUUUUAUAGAGGGGGUAAUAUAUUUUUAAGAAUAUUUGCUCAAUGCUUUAUUAUAAGGCUUAGUUUUCAUUGUCAUAGUAUAGCUUUUCUUUUUAAUAAAUGUGAUAGAAACCAUACUUUUAUUAUGUAGAAAAUUUUAUGAAAAAUAUAUAAUCUAAAAAUUAUACUCCAUCCGUCCCAAAAUAAGUGUCUCACACACUUAUUUUGGGAUGGAGGGAGUAUAUGGUAAGAACAUCACCAAGGAUGUAGCCAUUUCUCCUCGGAAUGACUACCCAGUAGGCUCCCCCAAACCUAGCCCGUGUGUCCAGACUACCCCAAAUCAAGCACAUAUGUCCAGACUACCAUAGUGCUUGACGUUGGAACAAGAGGAUGCUUUGGUCUCCUUCAUCAGAAUGCUUAGAGACCUCAAGCGCCUCGAGCUUGACUUGCAGCAUGGAUACAGUGACCCUGACAGCCAGCUGGACUCCUUACAUGAACUCUAUCUGCUACACUGGGAGUUCAGAAGAUGAGUUUGGAAAUGUAUGCAUGCAUGCAUAGAUCAGUCUUGCCUCUGCCUUGUCUCGAUCGAUGUAUGCAUGCAUGUAUACUUUUGGACAUGUCUAAUUUUGGCGCACAUGCUGAUUAAGCUCAACUUGAUGCGACUUGAUUGGAAACGCAUCGGCGUCAUUGCUUCGGUGCUGCAGCUGGUGAAAAUGCUGUACUAGAGGCGUUGCUUUUAUUGCAGUUGCAAGUACCAUGGUGACGCUGAAAGGGUGCAACUACCUCAGCAGCAUAUCACACUUAUCAUCGAACAUUUUAAACAUACAACAUUAAAACAUACGAAAUUUCUGGUUUCAAGUUUUGAAAUCUACGUAGUACUGUAGCUUCUGCCGCAACGGGAAAGCAUGUGAUAGAGAUCGGAACAGCAAUGCAUGGUUUGGAGCACACGGUAUCAAAUUUCAGUCGGUUUCAGGAUUGCUACCAGAGCAGCAACCAAAUUUCCAGCCGAAAGCUCCAUCGCCACGAUUCCUACUACUCCUCGCCUAUAUAUCACAAGUUCACAACAGAACACAAUUGAUAAUACGCAAAAUUUAAUUUUGCCGGUGAGGCCUGCCUGAUGGUCAUCGCAACGGUGAAACACAGGGAUUCGGAAAUUUAGAAAAGGCACCGGAGAUGAUUACACAAGUGGAACGCAUUGUUAAUCAAACCUAACUGGUACGUACAUACUUCCAAGUCAACUAAUCCUAAGUUCAAAAUAAUUCAUCUUUGCUUCUCAAGCAGAGAAAAAGAUGGGGAUUAGUACCUGCAGGCUGCUUAUUAUGACCAGGUAACAAUCUCGAUUUUGAUUUUAAAAUAGCCACUAAAAAGAUAUGGACAGCAGCUGUUAUCAAGGGCAACGACGAGGAACGCUGUUACCAGAUCAUAAACAGCGGCAAUCUGGCAACCAAAGCACAAGAACGCCAGCCAAUACAAGGAAGCACUUGCAAACAAUCUGAAUAUACAAAGAAAGAGGGCUCCAAGAUCCACUGCUAGCUCUAUUUUUAUGUUUCCUCUCCUUCCCAACUUCUUUAUCCCUUAGAUUUGUCAUGAAACAUGUUUUCACAUUAUCCAUGUUUUUGUUUCCUAUAACAUAGAAAGGACUGUAGAUGCAUAAUUAACUGCAAUAGAAUAUAACUAAAGGAGAGCUAGCUCUAAGACACAAGCUGAUUACUGGAUGUAAAUCAGUGUGGAGAAAGAACUGAUUUUAUAUGUCAGAUACUGUAUGUGGAUAAUCUUUUAUUUUGCAACAUGUGGAAUUGUGGAUACUUAAAUCGUUGUAGCUGGAAGUUAGAAACUACAUAAACAUAAACGGUUGUGGCACAACAAAAUGCUGGUUUCUGAAAGGCUGACCUCAUACUAACCAGACAGAGGGACAGGUCUGCGCCGAAAGAAAUGUGUAGCCAGAACACAAAACUGAAUUUAUGCAAACUGAAUCAUGCGGGCCUAGUGUAUAAUCAUAAAUUCAGUUCGUGCUUCUAGGAACAGUGAUCAUUGCAAUGUAAUUCUGGGAAACACACCACUCGCCUUAAUAGUUCACCUGAUGCAUCAAUCGAUACAACGACUUCUUCAGACAAAAAAUAAUGUUUAAUAGUCAGAACUGAUCAUUAGAAACCUCAAACCACUUGCAGCGUCCAUCAUUUCAAUAUCAGAAAAAUAUACUCGUGCUUAAUAUGGUAAUUCAGCAUCACCAAAUUAUGCUUCAAUGCAACAGAAAAUUUACAUCCGACUAUUUAAGUUUGUUUUUCUUUUACUUGAGAGAUAGAGUUAGCUGGAACUUCUGAGUAAACAUAAUUCUAAUACCCGUGAAAAAAUCAAGUUAUCUUAACCAUUGGCUUUUCUCAAGUAAAAAAAAAACUCGUUUAAGAAAAGUUUAUGAAUCUUAACAGCAGGUUGAUUAUUUUUUCCUACUGAUACCCAUCCUAUCUGAAUAUAUAGUAUUCAUCACCUAGGUAUAUACUCUGUGUUCACUGAAUAUAUACUAUUUCUCAUUUUCUUGAUCAUCAGCUGCAGUUACCAUUUGCAGCUUUUACACAAUAAAGUAAUUGCUGCGAUUUUCUCCUCUUUUUCAGAUCUACAUGGCUGUGAUCUUUCAUUUGUUCAAGCAGGAAAAAUGUUUUUAUAUAAUGGCAUGGUUACAGUAGUGGGGAUUGUUACCCCUGUUGCUCAUUAAACACAGCCAGAACACAUGUACAUCACUAAUCACAGCAAUUUACCACUCUUUAUGUUAUAGAAUGGACAACCAGUGGAAGGUCUCAGUGUCUAUAAAUCUAAUCUAAAUAUUAAACACAGUUAGUACUAAUUUACAUAGAGUGGAAUCUAAAAGACAAGGAAAUGAAAAUGAACAUGCAUGAUAAAUAAAUUUUGGCAUGGAAGCAGAUCAUACUGAUACAUUUUGGUGGAAAAGGACACCGCAUCAACAUACUGGGGCUCAGGAGCCAAAUUAUCAGUGUCAUACGGAGUUAGCAUUUAGCAAUGCCAAACUGGCAUGUAACAGGCAUACUACAGAAAACAACUAGCAUCAUCUUAGGCAAAGAACAACGAAACAGGAAGUACUAACAGCUUACACGCAGGGUGAUAACUUUGUUGCGCCAUACACUGUAACCAAUUUCCAUAGCCCUUUUUUGUUCAUAUGAAUCUGAAAUUAGUUGGCACUUCCCCUUUGCAAGGGGCUGUUUGGAUGGCGCCCCAGCAUGCCCUGCCAAAUCGUGGGCUGGCCAAAAUUUUGGCGCAGCUUCCAGCCGCCCACAACUUUGCCAACUGUUGGCGAAAAACUGAACUGGAGAAGCCCCCACGCCCUGGGCGAGCCAAUUAUUUGGUGGCCAUCCAAAGGAGCGCCAGUGCUUGGUCAACUACCAAAUUUUUGGCUCGGCAGCUCCAGGCUUCAAUCCAAACAGCCCUAUAGUCUUCAGCAAGGUGCGGUGCAGCUUCGUUGUGAGGGGAUAUGAACUUCUCCAUGAAUACCUUCUCGGUCACCAUGACGGCACUAUAGAAGCUCCAGUGACGGUCUAGCAGUCCACUUUGCUUGAGAAACUUUACAACAUAGUAUCGGGGCCUGACCCGACCCUCCAGGCUAAGACAAACAUUUAUCGGCCGAUGAGCAACAUAUGCAGGUUCCAGCCCCACCUCAGAUAACAGGAACUCGGACCUGCGCUUCAGAGAUUCCUUUGAGAUGGUCAGCACCAUCGGCGCCUUACAGACAGCAAUGCUCACUUCGGCAUCAGACCACCUGAAUGUAUUCUUCAAG
rnacentral:lncRNA from 1 species